rfam:Salmo salar isolate Sally breed double haploid chromosome ssa22, whole genome shotgun sequence.
UAUGCUUCACUCUGGAAGUCGCUCUGGAUAAGAGCAUCUGCUAAAUGACUUAAA